rnacentral:lncRNA from 1 species
AGGUCUGCUUUUCCCAUAAGAGAUUGAGCAUGGCCUUUCAUGAUGCCCCUUUUUUUCCAGAUGUAACCAGAUGUGGUGUUUCUGGUGAGAGGCUCUGGGCUAGCCUGUCAUGUCAGUGCAGUCAUGUCUUUGCACUUGAAUUGCUUCUGGGGCAAGCCAGCAUUGUUGUGCAUGCAGUGUUGGCAGGCAGUUCCCUCGCUGUGGCCAGAGAGCAGGAGCUCUGAGCCGAGCCAUGGCAGACGACCUUGGAGGAAUUGGGCUGUGUUCCUAACAAGGCACCCCUUUUUUUGAACAGGUGAAAACCCACCUUUCUGCCACACCCAUGUAUAACUUGUCUGGGGGCAGAUGUCUGUCAGGGCUGCUUUUUGCUGUCCUGAGAAUAUAACAAAAGGUUAGCAAAAUAUUUAAACUGUAACAUAUUCACAGGCUGAGUGCACAAGGUUUAUUUAAAGGAAGAGAGUGCUAUUAAUGGAAAGCAUGUGGUUUACUUUUUUCCCCCCAAAGUGGGAAUGUUACUUUGGGAUUUGGCAUGCUCUUCCAUACAGUAAGUGAAAUGAAGAGAGAAAGGUUUGGGGAAACUUUCCAUACAUUCAUGUCCACUUUCUCUCACACAAGGUGAGAAAACUUACUGAUUAUUGUAUUUUGUGUGCUCAUAUUUUACUUGCUAGCUUUUGAGCAGUAUUUUUAAUUUUUCCUUUACAACCAAAAUAUGCUUUUGUCUCCUUUAUAGUAGCGAUACAUUGAUAAUCUGAAUUAAGUGCAAAUUAUGGGUGCUGAUUAGGAGUGAUAGGAGAAAAAGACAAUACAGCUGUUGCAAAUGCUUCAUGAUACUAAACUGCCAAUUUUAAAGUUCAUUUCCUUGCAUUUAAAGUGAAAUGUUUAAAGUAACCAUGUGUAGCUGGAAAUGUUGCUAUACUUAAAAAAAAAGAUCAUAUCAUACGCGAUACUUGGUUGUCAUUGUGUCAAUUAUGGCUUGUCAGGCUACAUUAGUCUUUGAUAUCUGACAUUUGUGGAAGGUUUUUAUACUUCUCAGUGCUUUUUAGCACUCUCCUGUGUGUUUGGUACUUGCAGGGUUGAAUAAGGUACUCAGCUCUACAGUAUAAUAUUGGCAAGACUGGUAAAAUGUUGCAUGAGUCAAGCAAAUGUUGUACCAGGUCUUUGCAUGAUCCCGGGGGAGUGGGCAAUGGCCCUACCAAAAAUGAGAAUGGCAACUUGCAGUGUGGC